CGGCCGUGCGGUGGUGUGACGUCGCAGGUUUAGUUCGCGUUAUCAGCCUCCCGGUCUGUGCCGCGUCGCCGUUCGAAUUUUUUUACCACUUGUUGGGUGGCGGUUGUUCCCAAGCCGGCGCCGAGUGUAGUGAUCCAGUGCUGUUCAGUGUCUGUCCCGCAUUUCUUCGCGCCCAGUGACUGGAAGCUGUAUAUAUACAUAUCUCUCUGUCCCUUUGUUUUUGUUUUUCUCCACUUCCGUCGAGCGUAAUCCGGCAGCGCAGGCUACGAAGCACACCUGCGGCUGGGAGCGAGCAUCGGCUAUCGGCAUUCCCCGUCUGUUAUUCCAACUGUCGUCGUCCAGCAUAGAAGAAUAAGUGACUACAGUUCUGUGCAGCAUAAGGUUGCUGUGCUGAAGGAUAUGCCCAGACAGCAAUUGGGAUCUUAAGCAGGCCAAGGGGAAUGUGUCUCUACGUGCUGGCUGCACAAGAUGAGCUAAGCCGGGAGGUGUAGCAGUGAUCGCGGCACAGAGCAGAAGACAGAGGGGCCAUGUCUGCAGCGACGGGCCACUCGCUGAACCUGAUGGCGUGCGUGCGAGAGUCGUCGCCGCAGGAGCCGCCGCCCGACGCCGACCAGACCAGCCGCCAGGAGGGCAAGAGGCGGCGGUUCCACCCUCUGCGAGGGCUGCGGCGCAUGUUCCGGCGCAAGGCGGCCC